GAUGAAGAACGCAGCGAAAUGCGAUACGUAAUGUGAAUUGCAGAUUUCAGUGAAUCAUCGAAUCUUUGAACGCACAUUGCGCCCGCUAGUAUUCUGGCGGGCAUGCCUGUUCGAGCGUCAUUUCAACCAUCAAGCCCUAGGCUUGCGUUGGAGCCCUGCGGCUGCCGCAGGCUCCCAAAUCCAGUGGCGGGCUCGUCGUCGUACCAAGUGCAGUAAACAUCCUCGCUCAGGGAACGUGACGGGUUCUUGCCGUGAAACCCCCCACAUAUCAAGGUUGACCUCGGAUCAGGUAGGAAUACCCGCUGAACUUAAGCAUAUCAAUAAGCGGAGGA
rnacentral:misc_RNA from 1 species